GAUGAACGCUGGCGGCGUGCCUAAUACAUGCAAGUCGAGCGAACGGACGAGAAGCUUGCUUCUCUGAUGUUAGCGGCGGACGGGUGAGUAACACGUGGAUAACCUACCUAUAAGACUGGGAUAACUUCGGAAAACCGGAGCUAAUACCGGAUAAUAUUUUGAACCGCAUGGUUCAAAAGUGAAAGACGGUCUUGCUGUCACUUAUAGAUGGAUCCGCGCUGCAUUAGCUAGUUGGUAAGGUAACGGCUUACCAAGGCAACGGUGCAUAGCCGACCUGAGAGGGUGAUCGGCCACACUGGAACUGAGACACGGUCCAGACUCCUACGGGAGGCAGCAGUAGGGAAUCUUCCGCAAUGGGCGAAAGCCUGACGGAGCAACGCCGCGUGAGUGAUGAAGGUCUUCGGAUCGUAAAACUCUGUUAUUAGGGAAGAACAUAUGUGUAAGUAACUGUGCACAUCUUGACGGUACCUAAUCAGAAAGCCACGGCUAACUACGUG
rnacentral:rRNA from 1 species